GACGAACGCUGGCGGCGGGCUUAACACAUGCAAGUCGAACGCCAAGGACCGGCAGUUGUGGGCUGCUCGGUUGGCGGAGGGGUGAUUAACACUUCUGUGACCUGCCCUUGACUUUCGGAUAUCAUUAGGGUAUACGGGCUACUACCGGAUAGGAUCUCCUGCUGCAUGGUGCGGGUGGGGAAGUUUCGGCUGUUGGGGAUGGACUCGGGGCGUAUCAGCUUGUUGUUGGGGUAGUGGCUGGCCAAGGCUCUGCCUGGUAGCUGGGCUGCGAGGGGGACCGGCCACGUCAGGAUUGAGAUAAGGCACAGACCCCUACGGUAGGCAGCAGUGCGGUAUAUUGCACAAUGGGCGGAAGCCUGAUGCAGCAACGCCGCGUGGGGGAUGACGGCAAUGGGGUUGUAAUCCGCUUUCGCCUGCCACGAGACGUGAGUGACGGUAAUGGGUAAAGAAGCACCGGCUAACUACGUG
rnacentral:rRNA from 1 species